rnacentral:rRNA from 1 species
GACGGAGGGUGCUAGCGUUGUUCGGAAUUACUGGGCGUAAAGGGCGCGUAGGCGGCCUGGUCAGUCGGAUGUGAAAGCCCGAGGCUCAACCUCGGAACUGCCUUCGAUACUGCGGGUCUCGAGUCCGGGAGAGGUGAGUGGAAUUCCUAGUGUAGAGGUGAAAUUCGUAGAUAUUAGGAAGAACACCAGUGGCGAAGGCGGCUCACUGGCCCGGUACUGACGCUGAGGCGCGAAAGCGUGGGGAGCAAACAGG